rnacentral:rRNA from 1 species
GCGUUCAUACCAGCACUAAUGCACCGGAUCCCAUCAGAACUCCGCAGU